AUUUUAAUAGUGAUAAAAAAAAUAUUGAUUUUGUAAUUCAAAGUUGCCAGUGGCUUAAAAUC
rnacentral:tRNA from 1 species